CCUACGGGAGGCAGCAGUGGGGAAUCUUGCGCAAUGGGCGAAAGCCUGACGCAGCCAUGCCGCGUGAAUGAUGAAGGUCUUAGGAUUGUAAAAUUCUUUCACCGGGGACGAUAAUGACGGUACCCGGAGAAGAAGCCCCGGCUAACUUCGUGCCAGCAGCCGCGGUAAUACGAAGGGGGCUAGCGUUGCUCGGAAUUACUGGGCGUAAAGGGAGCGUAGGCGGAUAGUUUAGUCAGAGGUGAAAGCCCAGGGCUCAACCUUGGAAUUGCCUUUGAUACUGGCUAUCUUGAGUUUGGGAGAGGUGAGUGGAACUCCGAGUGUAGAGGUGAAAUUCGUAGAUAUUCGGAAGAACACCAGUGGCGAAGGCGACUCACUGGCCCAAUACUGACGCUGAGGCUCGAAAGCGUGGGGAGCAAACAGGAUUAGAUACCCUGGUAGUCCACGCCGUAAACGAUGAGUGCUAGUUGUCGGCAUGCAUGCAUGUCGGUGACGCNGCUACGCAUAGCACNCCGCCGUGGGAGGUACGGUCGCGAGAGUUAAACGUACGAAAGUUAAAGUUAGUACGGCGUUGAGACGNGCGACGGACGACGACGAGGGAGGAGG
rnacentral:rRNA from 1 species